rnacentral:rRNA from 1 species
CUUAAAUUGAAGAGUUUGAUCAUGGCUCAGAUUGAACGCUGGCGGCAGGCCUAACACAUGCAAGUCGAGCGGAAACGAGUUAGC